rnacentral:rRNA from 1 species
CGGCGGACGGGUGAGUAACACGUGGAUAACCUACCUAUAAGACUGGGAUAACUUCGGGAAACCGGAGCUAAUACCGGAUAAUAUUUUGAACCGCAUGGUUCAAAAGUGAAAGACGGUCUUGCUGUCACUUAUAGAUGGAUCCGCGCUGCAUUAGCUAGUUGGUAAGGUAACGGCUUACCAAGGCAACGAUGCAUAGCCGACCUGAGGGGGUGAUCGGCCACACUGGAACUGAGACACGGUCCAG